rnacentral:piRNA from 1 species
UUGGGAAAAGAUCUUUACCAAUUCUAUAC